rnacentral:lncRNA from 1 species
GAAGAGAGAGUGGAGUUGAGACAUUUGCAGACGCAUUUGGAGACGAUGAUUUCACGGAGGGUUAAAUGGGAGAAGAUCUGGUGAAGGGUAUCUUGAGGUAAACGAUUUAAAGGGGAAAACUCCAUCGGCGGCGGAUGAGAAGAGAGAGUUGAGUUAAGACAUUUGCAGACGCAUUUGGAGACGAUGAUUUCACGGAGAGUUAAAUGGGAGAAGAUCUGGUGAAGGGUAUCUUGAGGUAAACGAUUUAAAGGGGAAAACUCCAUCGGCGGCAGGGCACGGCGGAGAUUAAGAGUCGGUGGUGGUCGGAGAGAUUGAUCUAAUCUCUUGUUUGGGGGUUUUUGAGUUUAAUAAUUAUUUUUGUGCUUUGUAGAAAGGGUUUUUUCUUGUUUUGGUUGACUGGUUUGUCUUGACAAUGUAUUUGGCUAUGG